rnacentral:rRNA from 1 species
ACGGGAGGCAGCAGUGGGGAAUAUUGCGCAAUGGGGGAAACCCUGACGCAGCAACGCCGCGUGCGGGAUGAAGGCCUUCGGGUUGUAAACCGCUUUCAGCAGGGACGAUUAUGACGGUACCUGCAGAAGAAGCCCCGGCUAAAUACGUGCCAGCAGCCGCGGUAAUACGUAUGGGGCGAGCGUUAUCCGGAUUCAUUGGGCGUAAAGCGCGCGUAGGCGGACCGUUAAGCGAGGUGUCCAAUCCGGGGGCUCAACCCGCGGCCCCACCUCGAACUGGCGGCCUUGAGUGUGGUAGGGGGGCGUGGAAUUCCCAGUGUAGCGGUGGAAUGCGCAGAUAUUGGGAAGAACACCGGUGGCGAAGGCGGCGCCCUGGGCCACCACUGACGCUGAGGCGCGAGAGCUGGGGGAGCGAACAGGAUUAGAUACCCUGGUA